rnacentral:rRNA from 1 species
UACGUAGGUGACCAGCGUUGUCCGGAUUUACUGGGCGUAAAGAGCGCGCAGGCGGUCGUUCAAGUCGAGUGUGAAAGCCCCCGGCUCAACUGGGGAGGGGCAUUCGAUACUGAUCGACUGGAAGGCAGGAGAGGGAAGCGGAAUUCCCGGUGUAGUGGUGAAAUGCGUAGAUAUCGGGAGGAACACCAGUGGCGAAGGCGGCUUCCUGGCCUGUUCUUGACGCUGAGGCGCGAAAGCUAGGGGAGCAAACGGG